rnacentral:rRNA from 1 species
GACGAACGCUGGCGGCGUGCCUAACACAUGCAAGUCGAGCGGAGUUAUAGCAAUAUAACUUAGCGGCGGACGGGUGAGUAACACGUGGGCAACCUGCCCUUAAGAGGGGGAUAGCCAACCGAAAGGUUGAUUAAUACCGCAUGAAACUGAUAAAUCGCAUGGUUUGUCAGUCAAAGGAGAAGUCCGCUUAAGGAGGGGCCCGCGGCCCAUUAGCUAGUUGGUGAGGUAGAGGCUCACCAAGGCGACGAUGGGUAGCCGAUCUGAGAGGAUGAACGGCCACAUUGGAACUGAGACACGGUCCAGACUCCUACGGGAGGCAGCAGUGGGGAAUAUUGCGCAAUGGGGGAAACCCUGACGCAGCAACGCCGCGUGAAGGAUGAAGGCCUUCGGGUCGUAAACUUCUUUGAUCAGGGAUGAUAAUGACAGUACCUGAAAAACAAGCCACGGCUAACUACGUGCCAGCAGCCGCCGUAAGAC